rnacentral:rRNA from 1 species
AGUGAACGCUGGCGGCGUGCUUAAUACAUGCAAGUCGAACGGAGUGGCGCACGGGCGAGUAAUGUAUAGCUAAUCUGCCCUACACUAGAGGACAACAGUUGGAAACGACUGCAAAUAAUCCAUAGUGUAGGACGGGGCUAUAUUGUAUCAGGUAGUUGGUGAGGGAAUGGCUCACCAAGGCUAUGACGCAUAACUGGUCUGAGAGGAUGAUCAGUCACACUGGAACUGAGACACGGUCCAGACACCUACGGGAGGGAGCAGUAGGGAAUAUCGCUCAAUGAGGGAAUACGUGAAGGAGCAACGGGGGGUGGAGGAUGACACUUUUCGGGGCGUAAACUCCUUUUGUUAGGGAGGCGGUACCUAAAGAAUAAGCACCGGCUAACUCCGUGCCAGCAGCCGCGGUAAUUC